rnacentral:rRNA from 1 species
AGCGGCGGAUGGGUGAGUAACACGUGGGGAACCUGCCCCUAAGUCUGGGAUACCAUUUGGAAACAGGUGCUAAUACCGGAUAAUAAAGCAGAUCGCAUGAUCAGCUUUUGAAAGGCGGCGUAAGCUGUCGCUAAGGGAUGGCCCCGCGGUGCAUUAGCUAGUUGGUAAGGUAACGGCUUACCAAGGCGACGAUGCAUAGCCGAGUUGAGAGACUGAUCGGCCACAUUGGGACUGAGACACGGCCCAAACUCCUACGGGAGGCAGCAGUAGGGAAUCUUCCACAAUGGACGCAAGUCUGAUGGAGCAACGCCGCGUGAGUGAAGAAGGUUUUCGGAUCGUAAAGCUCUGUUGUUGGUGAAGAAGGAUAGAGGUAGUAACUGGCCUUUAUUUGACGGUAAUCAACCAGAAAGUCACGGCUAACUACGUGCCAGCAGCCGCGGUAAUACGUAGGUGGCAAGCGUUGUCCGGAUUUAUUGGGCGUAAAGCGAGCGCAGGCGGAAAAAUAAGUCUAAUGUGAAAGCCCUCGGCUUAACCGAGGAACUGCAUCGGAAACUGUUUUUCUUGAGUGCAGAAGAGGAGAGUGGAACUCCAUGUGUAGCGGUGGAAUGCGUAGAUAUAUGGAAGAACACCAGUGGCGAAGGCGGCUCUCUGGUCUGCAACUGACGCUGAGGCUCGAAAGCAUGGGUAGCGAACAGGAUUAGAUACCCUGGUAGUCCAUGCUGUAAACGAUGAGUGCUAAGCGU